GACGAACGCUGGCGGCGUGCUUAACACAUGCAAGUCGAACGGUAAGGCUCCAGCUUGCUGGGGUACACGAGUGGCGAACGGGUGAGUAACACGUGGGUGACCUGCCCUGCACUUCGGGAUGAGCCUGGGAAACUGGGUCUAAUACCGGAUAGGACCGCACCGUGAGGGUGUGGUGGAAAGUUUUUUCGGUGUGGGAUGGGCCCGCGGCCUAUCAGCUUGUUGGUGGGGUAAUGGCCUACCAAGGCGGCGACGGGUAGCCGGCCUGAGAGGGUGGACGGCCACAUUGGGACUGAGACACGGCCCAGACUCCUACGGGAGGCAGCAGUGGGGAAUAUUGCACAAUGGGCGGAAGCCUGAUGCAGCGACGCCGCGUAGGGGAUGACGGCCUUCGGGUUGUAAACUCCUUUCACCAUCGACGAAGGGUUUCUGACGGUAGAUGGAGAAGAAGCACCGGCUAACUACGUGCCAGCAGCCGCGGUAAUACGUAGGGUGCGAGAGUUGUCCGGAAUUACUGGGCGUAAAGAGCUCGUAGGUGGUUUGUCGCGUCGUCUGUGAAAUUCCGGGGCUUAACUCCGGGCGUGCAGGCGAUACGGGCAUAACUUGAGUACUGUAGGGGAGACUGGAAUUCCUGGUGUAGCGGUGAAAUGCGCAGAUAUCAGGAGGAACACCGGUGGCGAAGGCGGGUCUCUGGGCAGUAACUGACGCUGAGGAGCGAAAGCAUGGGGAGCGAACAGGAUUAGAUACCCUGGUAGUCCAUGCCGUAAACGGUGGGCGCUAGGUGUGGGUUUCCUUCCACGGGAUCUGUGCCGUAGCUAACGCAUUAAGCGCCCCGCCUGGGGAGUACGGCCGCAAGGCUAAAACUCAAAGGAAUUGACGGGGGCCCGCACAAGCGGCGGAGCAUGUGGAUUAAUUCGAUGCAACGCGAAGAACCUUACCUGGGCUUGACAUAUACAGGAUCGCGCCAGAGAUGGUGUUUCCCUUGUGGCUUGUAUACAGGUGGUGCAUGGUUGUCGUCAGCUCGUGUCGUGAGAUGUUGGGUUAAGUCCCGCAGCGAGCGCAACCCUUGUCUUAUGUUGCCAGCACGUUGUGGUGGGGACUCGUAAGAAACUGCCGGGGUUAACUCGGAGGAAGGUGGGGAUGACGUCAAAUCAUCAUGCCCCUUAUGUCCAGGGCUUCACACAUGCUACAAUGGUCGGUACAGUGGGUUGCCAGUCCGUGAGGGCGAGCUAAUCCCGCAAAGCCGGUCUCAGUUCGGAUCGGGGUCUGCAACUCGACCCCGUGAAGUCGGAGUCGCUAGUAAUCGCAGAUCAGCAACGCUGCGGUGAAUACGUUCCCGGGCCU
rnacentral:rRNA from 1 species